AUCGGCCGAUCGCCUUGAGUUGAUCAUGGCUCGAAUGAACGCUGGCGGCGUGCUUAACACAUGCAAGUCGUGCGCGAAGGUGGCUUCGGCCACCGGAGAGCGGCGAACGGGUGAGUAACACGUGGGUGAUCUACCUGGAAGCGGGGGAUAACCUGGGGAAACUCGGGCUAAUACCGCAUACGUUGUUUAGGUUACGGCCUGGACAAGAAAACCGGCCUCUGCUUGCAAGCUGGUGCUUCCAGAGGAGCCCGCGGCUGAUUAGCUAGUUGGUGGGGUAAUGGCCCACCAAGGCGACGAUCAGUAGCCGGCCUGAGAGGGUGAUCGGCCACACUGGGACUGAGACACGGCCCAGACUCCUACGGGAGGCAGCAGUGGGGAAUAUUGGACAAUGGGCGCAAGCCUGAUCCAGCAACGCCGCGUGGAGGACGAAGGUCUUCGGAUCGUAAAUUCCUGUCAGACGGGACGAAGGUGCCGGGGUAAAUAAUCCCGGUACUUGACGGUACUGUCAGAGGAAGCCCCGGCUAACUCCGUGCCAGCAGCCGCGGUAAUACGGAGGGGGCGAGCGUUAUUCGGAAUUAUUGGGCGUAAAGGGCGCGUAGGCGGCUUGGCAAGUCAAAGGUGAAAUCCCUCGGCUCAACUGAGGAACUGCCUUUGAAACUGCCUGGCUUGAGGCCGGGAGGGGGUAGCGGAAUUCCCAGUGUAGCGGUGAAAUGCGUAGAUAUUGGGAGGAACACCAGUGGCGAAGGCGGCUACCUGGACC
rnacentral:rRNA from 1 species